rnacentral:rRNA from 1 species
UACGUAGGGUGCAAGCGUUAAUCGGAAUUACUGGGCGUAAAGCGUGCGCAGGCGGUUUCGCAAGUCAGAUGUGAAAUCCCCGGGCUCAACCUGGGAACUGCAUUUGAAACUACGAGGCUAGAGUGUGUCAGAGGGGGGUGGAAUUCCACGUGUAGCAGUGAAAUGCGUAGAGAUGUGGAGGAACACCAAUGGCGAAGGCAGCCCCCUGGGAUAACACUGACGCUCAUGCACGAAAGCGUGGGGAGCAAACAGGAUUAGAUACCCUGGUAGUCC